UUGCAGGUUUGCUGGCGAUGC
rnacentral:siRNA from 1 species